GUGUUUAAAGCAAGCUAACGCUUGAAAUACAUUAGCAUGGAAUAAUGAAAUAGGACGUUCGAUCCUAUUUGUUGGUUUCUUAGGAUUGACGUAAUGAUUAAUAGGGAUAGUUGGGGGCAUUAGUAUUCAAUUGUCAGAGGUGAAAUUCUUGGAUUUAUUGAAGACUAACUACUGCGAAAGCAUUUUGCCAAGGAUGUUUUCAUUAAUCAAGAACGAAAGUUAGGGGAUCGAAGACGAUCAGAUACCGUCGUAGUCUUAACCAUAAACUAUGCCGACUAGGGAUCGGAUGAUGUUAAUUUUAUAAUGACUCAUUCGGCGCCUUACG
rnacentral:rRNA from 1 species